rnacentral:rRNA from 1 species
UACGAAGGGGGCUAGCGUUGUUCGGAAUUACUGGGCGUAAAGCGAGUGUAGGUGGUUGUCCAAGUUGGAUGUGAAAGCCUUGAGCUCAACUCAAGAAAUGCAUUCAGGACUGGGCGGCUAGAGGACCGGAGAGGAUAGUGGAAUUCCCAGUGUAGUGGUGAAAUACGUAGAGAUUGGGAAGAACACCAGUGGCGAAGGCGGCUAUCUGGACGGUUUCUGACACUAAGACUCGAAAGCGUGGGGAGCGAACAGG